rnacentral:rRNA from 1 species
GAAGAGGUUUGAAGUUAAUUCAAAUAUUGGUAUAAUUCUAAUCUGAAGAGUCAACUGCUCACUCGAAGUAGGGCAAUGACUCAUGCCCCCACACUGGGAUUUAAAAUCUCACUCUCCACCCCCCCUCCUC